rnacentral:rRNA from 1 species
UACGUAGGGUGCGAGCGUUAAUCGGAAUUACUGGGCGUAAAGUGUGUGCAGGCGGCCGAGCAAGUCGAGUGUGAAAGCCCCGAGCUUAACUUGGGAACUGCGCUCGAAACUACUUGGCUAGAGUGUGGCAGAGGGAGGUGGAAUUCCACGUGUAGCGGUGAAAUGCGUAGAGAUGUGGAGGAACACCGAUGGCGAAGGCAGCCUCCUGGGCCAACACUGACGCUCAUGCACGAAAGCGUGGGGAGCAAACAGG